CCUACGGGUGGCAGCAGUGAGGAAUAUUGGUCAAUGGACGAGAGUCUGAACCAGCCAAGUAGCGUGAAGGAUGACUGCCCUAUGGGUUGUAAACUUCUUUUAUAAAGGAAUAAAACGAGGCACGUGUGCCUUUUUGCAUGUACUUUAUGAAUAAGGAUCGGCUAACUCCGUGCCAGCAGCCGCGGUAAUACGGAGGAUCCGAGCGUUAUCCGGAUUUAUUGGGUUUAAAGGGAGCGUAGAUGGGUUGUUAAGUCAGUUGUGAAAGUUUGCGGCUCAAACGUAAAAUUGCAAUUGAUACUGGCAGUCGUGAGUACAGUUGAGGUAAGCGGAAUUCGUGGUGUAGCGGUGAAAUGCUUAGAUAUCACGAAGAACCCCGAUUGCGAAGGCAGCUUACUAAGCUGUGACUGACAUUGAUGCUCGAAAGUGUGGGUAUCAAACAGGAUUAGAUACCCCAGUAGUC
rnacentral:rRNA from 1 species